rnacentral:lncRNA from 1 species
GGCGACAAUUAGUUGAGAAACCGGAGAAUUAGACUUUCAAGACUGCUAAGAAUCAAUUUUCCGACGGUGACAAUAACUGAGAAUUCCGGCGGCGACAAUAGCAUGAGUUUUCCGACGGCGAAAUGGAGGAUGACGACGGAGAUUGUUCGAUAUUUUCUUUGGAGUUCCGGCGAUAAUGGACUGAGUUUUGAAUCAGAUGGCUGGUUACAGUUGAGUUUUUUCAAAGAUCGAUGAACGAUUUCCGAAGUUUGAUUUUGUUAUUCUUGUUUGAGAUGAUGAUCAGAAACACUGCUCUGAUACCAUGUUGUUUGGUAUAGAGAAGAAUCCUUGAAUUGGGUUUGAGUUGUAUUGAGAAUUGUUUUUAUGAUAAAAAAAAGGGUUACAAAGAAUGGUGUUUAUAUAGAACAC